CGUAUCCUGGGAAUGCAUAUUGCAUAUUCAGGAAACAGAGACAAAUCUUUUUCACUUGAGUCAAGAGGGUUCAGGGCUUGUCAUCUGUUUCUGGGAUAUAGAGAAAUGGAAAAUAGAAGAGUUCUAACCUCAUUCUGUAUUGCAAGGGAAGGAGCUUGUCAUAUAGUCACUUGUGUUGGACCCUUGAAUGGCUCAACUCACUGUCCUCGUACAGUGAUCACUUCAAAGAAGCACGUGUUUCACUGAAUACAACCAGGGGCCCAUCUAUCUCAUGCCUCUAGCUUUUCAUCCUCCUCCCUUGAAAAUUAAGAUAGCAGCCCCAGCUCCAGGUGGAAAGGACAGCUUACUCAUCAAGGGAGUUACAGUGUCUGCAGCCUGUACUGAGUCAGAGUAUCUGAGAGAGGAUCCCAGGAACCAAUCUGGAACAAAGGACAG
rnacentral:lncRNA from 1 species